rnacentral:lncRNA from 1 species
GAGUACUCCAGUCACACCGCAAGCCCUCCGAGGACUGAUGUCCACAGGGAUCCCAGUUGACUCCAAAGGCCAACGUCUUUAUAGAGUCUACUCAGCAUUUAACCCAGGGGCUCCCUGCCCCCCAGGAUACUUCUGCCGUGAGUGUGUCCUUGGGCUCCGCGCUCAGCCCAACUCGCCCUCCUGUCCCAGGACUGCAGACAGAUCUGAUUCCUCUGGCUUGCACCUGUGCCCCUGAGCAGGUGGGAGGAAGCCAGAGGGAAGAGAGGUGCCCCGGUAGAGUCAGGCCUGAGGCAAGAAGGCUUGCAGGGGGGUGUGGUUAAAGUACACUUUGGGCAUUUGCUGUGGCUUGGGUUGUUUGGUGGGGACAGCUAAGAGUCAAUGACAAUGACCUGGUUGCAUCUGGAGCCUUGUCAGCUGUCAGUGUUCUGAGCCCUGGUGAUGUUUCAUCAGCUGCAGGGGAAGGGCCUGUGCCAGGCUGGCAGAGGGGCUGGGCAGCAGAGGGUCCUCUAGAUCUGUGAUCUCAUGGGCUGUCCAGUGCUCUGAGGCUGAGCCUGCUCCUGCUGCCCAUGAGGAGUCUCUGCUCCCUGUACCUGUGGGCUCUCUUUAGCCAGGUGACGCUCCCUCCCUGUGCCCCCAGCUGCAGGAUCACACAAGCCCACGGCCUGUCCCGCCGGCACCUUCUCCAGCCUCCCUGAGCAAACCAUGCUCUCUGCAUGCCAGUCCUGCCCACCGGGCUUCUACUGCAAGGAGGCUGGUCUCCAGGCCCCCAGUGGGCAGUGCCCGGCAGGAGACUGUGCUGCAGGGCACUGGUGCAAGGGAGGAGCCGCCAUCAAGGACCCCACCGACAGGGCACGAGGGCUCCUCUGCCCGCCUGGACACUACUGCCUCAAGGGUACCUCAUUCCCGGAGGGCCCCUUGCGUCUCUCCUAGCCUUCUGCUGGCUUGGGGCUCUGAGCCCUGCUUCCCACACAGGCACAAUGGGCACCAAACGCUUACUCUGGACACCUCCCCACUGCUCAGCAGCCCCACCCUCCCAUCCUCAAAACCUCCCC